AUUGAACGCUGGCGGCAGGCCUAACACAUGCAAGUCGAACGGUAACAGGAAGCAGCUUGCUGCUUUGCUGACGAGUGGCGGACGGGUGAGUAAUGUCUGGGAAACUGCCCGAUGGAGGGGGAUAACUACUGGAAACGGUAGCUAAUACCGCAUAACGUCGCAAGACCAAAGAGGGGGACCUUAGGGCCUCUUGCCAUCGGAUGUGCCCAGAUGGGAUUAGCUAGUAGGUGGGGUAACGGCUCCCCUAGGCGACGAUCCCUAGCUGGUCUGAGAGGAUGACCAGCCACACUGGAACUGAGACACGGUCCAGACUCCUACGGGAGGCAGCAGUGGGGAAUAUUGCACAAUGGGCGCAAGCCUGAUGCAGCCAUGCCGCGUGUAUGAAGAAGGCCUUCGGGUUGUAAAGUACUUUCAGCGGGGAGGAAGGGAGUAAAGUUAAUACCUUGGCUCAUUGACGUUACCCGCAGAAGAAGCACCGGCUAACUCCGUG
rnacentral:rRNA from 1 species